rnacentral:rRNA from 1 species
AAGAAAGUAAUUAAGGGCGUACGGUGGAUGCCUUGGCUCUCAUAGGCGAUGAAGGACGUGGCAAGCUGCGAUAAGCUUCGGGGAGGUGCAAACUACCUUUGAUCCGGAGAUUUCCGAAUGGGGAAACCUAUUCCAAGUUAAUAUUGGAAUGCCGUUAUGGCGCUAACCCGGUGAACUGAAACAUCUAAGUAACCGGAGGAAGAGAAAACAAUAGUGAUUCCCUAAGUAGUGGCGAGCGAACAGGGAAGAGCCCAAACCAUUUUUGUUAAGGCAAAAAUGGGGUUGUAGGACUGCAAUAUGGACUACAAAUUCGUAGUGGAAGAUUUCUGGAAAGUUAUAUCAUAGAGGGUGAUAGUCCCGUACACGAAACGAAUUUGUUACCUAGCAGUAUCCUGAGUACCACGGGACCGGAGAAAUCCUGUGGGAAUCUGCCAGCACCAUCUGGUAAGGCUAAAUACUCAUGAGAGACCGAUAGCGAACAAGUACUGUGAAGGAAAGGUGAAAAGAACCGUGAACAACGGAGUGAAAUAGUCCCUGAAACCGUGCGCCUACAAGCGGUCGGAGCCCAUUUAUGGGUGACGGCGUGCCUUUUGCAUAAUGAGCCUACGAGUUGCUACUUACUAGCAAGGUUAAUUCAAUUGAUUGAAGGAGCCGAAGCGAAAGCGAGUCUGAAUAGGGCGCUUAGUUAGUAGGUGCAGACGCGAAACUUUGUGAUCUACCCAUGACCAGGUUGAAGUUGCAGUAACAUGUAAUGGAGGACCGAACCAGUUGACGUUGAAAAGUCUUUGGAUGAGUUGUGGGUAGGGGUGAAAGGCUAAUCAAACUGAGAGAUAGCUCGUACUCCCCGAAAUGUUUUUAGGAACAGCCUCGAGGUCGAGUGUCAUAGAGGUAGAGCUACUGAUUGGACUAGGGGGCUUCACCGCCUACCAAAUCCUGACAAACUCCGAAUGCUAUGACAUAUACUCGGGAGUGAGGGCGCGGGUGCUAAGGUCCGUGUCCGAGAGGGAAAGAACCCAGAUCAUCGGUUAAGGUCCCAAAAUAUAUGCUAAGUUGAAUUAACGAAGUGCGAUUGCAUUGACAGCUAGGAUGUUGGCUUGGAAGCAGCCAUUCAUUUAAAGAGUGCGUAACAGCUCACUAGUCGAGCGAUUGUGCGUGGAUAAUAAUCGGGCAUUAAGCAUAUUACCGAAACUGUGACAUUAAUUUAUUAAUGGGUAGGGGAGCAUUCCAGUUGCACAGAAGGUGAAUCGUGAGGUUUGCUGGAGCGGCUGGAAAAGCAAAUGUAGGCAUGAGUAACGAUAAUGCAGGUGAAAAACCUGCACACCGAAAGACCAAGGUUUCCUGAUCAACGUUAAUCGGAUCAGGGUUAGUCGGGUCCUAAGGAUAACCACGUAAACGUGGGAGGCCGAUGGCAAGUUGGUUAAUAUUCCAACACCGGUGUUACUGCGAUGAGGUGACGAAGGAGUGAAAGAUCUGCGUACCGACGGAUGUGUACGUUGAAGGGUGUAGACUUAUCCUGGUUGGCAAAUCCGCCAGGUUAUCGAACCUGAUAGUACCGUGAGUCUUCGGACAAGCGGAUAAUGAUCCUAAUCAUACUUCCAAGAAAAACCUCUAAGCUUCAGGUAACUACCGCCCGUACCGUAAACCGACACAGGUGGUCGAGGAGAGUAUCCAAAGGUGCUCGAGUGAUCCAUGGCUAAGGAACUAGGCAAAUUAACCCUGUAACUUCGGGAGAAAGGGUCCCCCGCGAGGGGGCGCAGAGAAAUGGCCCAGGCGACUGUUUAUCAAAAACACAUGGCUAUGCUAAAUCGCAAGAUGAUGUAUAUGGCCUGACACCUGCCCGGUGCUGGAAGGUUAAGAGGAGAUGUCAUUCGCAAGAAGAAGCAUUGAAUCGAAGCCCCAGUAAACGGCGGCCGUAACUAUAACGGUCCUAAGGUAGCGAAAUUCCUUGUCGGGUAAAUUCCGACCUGCACGAAUGGUGUAACGAUCUGGGCACUGUCUCAGCCAUGAGCUCGGUGAAAUUGAAGUAACGGUGAAGAUGCCGUUUACCCGCCACGGGACGGAAAGACCCCGUGAACCUUCACUACAACUUAACAUUGAUAUUGGAUAUGAGAUGUGUAGGAUAGGUGGGAGACUUUGAAGCGGGGGCGCUAGCCCUCGUGGAGUCAACCUUGAAAUACCACCCUUCUUAUAUUUGGUGUCUAAUCCGCCCUCGGCGGAAACAUUGUUUGGUGGGUAGUUUGACUGGGGUGGUCGCCUCCAAAAGAGUAACGGAGGCUUUCAAAGGUACCCUCAGCACGCUUGGUAACCGUGCGUAGAGUGCAAUGGCAUAAGGGUGCUUGACUGUGAGACCAACAAGUCGAUCAGGUACGAAAGUAGGACAUAGUGAUCCGGUGGUUCCAUAUGGAAGGGCCAUCGCUCAAAGGAUAAAAGGUACUCCGGGGAUAACAGGCUGAUCACUCCCAAGAGCUCACAUCGACGGAGUGGUUUGGCACCUCGAUGUCGGCUCGUCACAUCCUGGGGCUGGAGUAGGUCCCAAGGGUUCGGCUGUUCGCCGAUUAAAGUGGCACGCGAGCUGGGUUCAGAACGUCGCGAGACAGUUCGGUCCCUAUCUGUGGUGGGCGUUGGAAUUUUGAGAAGCGCUGUCUUUAGUACGAGAGGACCGAGAUGGACAUACCUCUAGUGUACCUGUUAUGGCGCCAGCUGUAUCGCAGGGUAGCUACGUAUGGAAUGGAUAAGUGCUGAAAGCAUCUAAGCACGAAGCCUGCUUCAAGAUGAGAAUUCCUUUAAGGGUCGUUGUAGACUACGACGUUGAUAGGCUGCAGGUCUAAAGCCAGUAAUGGCAAAGCCGAGCAGUACUAAUUACCCGUAGCUUUCUAUU